AGUCAUUCUAGCCUGGAGCUUUAGAAGACGAAGUAAAAAAGAAGUCAGACAGUCCUAGCUUUGAAUCCUGGCCCAGCCACUUACUAGGUGGGAGACCUUGGGACAAUCGUAUCCCUUCUGGGGGAAUUUCCCCACCUCCAUGUUGAAGCCAAGGAUGACUAGUACUCCAUGGAAAAGAGGUCAACAUGAUAACCAGGAGAUGUGGUCAUGGGGCAUUAAAAGGUUCGAAGCUGUUCCAGAAAGGAUGUCAUUGAUGUGGAAUACAGGAACUGUGGAUGCCUCCUGAAUGGGAGCUGCAAACGAUUAUCAGAGUCAAGCAAGAGGAAUGGCAAGGCAUGUGCUGAAUAACAUCACAUUAAUAUGGCUCUUAGCUACCUAACCCAUUAGGAGCCAUAAUUAGGAGAGUUUGAAACAGACUGCAAGCAUCUUCUCCAGAAAGAAGCUAGGAGCGAGUCCAGCGGAUUCGUGGAAAUGGAUGGAGGCUGCUGAGUUGAGAGACUGAGAAGUGGAGGUACCUAGGAAGGUCCUCCCUGAAAAUACAUCGGGUUGUAAAACCUGGAAAGAAAUACCUCCAUUUGUCAGGCACUCACAGGGCGCUCUCCUCUGGCAGCUCCCAUGUUGAGCGCCCAGGGCAGCGACCAGACGGCGUCCUGUCCUCCUGCACGGGGCCAGAACUGGAUGGUCCCGCGACACAUCGUGUCUGCAGCUUUAGAGGCCUCCCCAGGAGUGCUACCGCGGUCAUUUCUGCCCAGCUGUAAAAUAACACCCAAUCAGCGAGCCGCCAGCUGCAAACUGUUCCGACCUACUCCUCCCUCCCCGGCUUAAUUCCCACCUAUACCAAAGUGGCCCCACGCGGGCAGAAGCGAAAGACGGAAAUGAGGGGAGGCCAACUACUCGAGAUCUGCGCCCGAAGCAGAUUUUCCACGCGCUCAGAGUAGGGUCGGGGAAAGGCCCACUUGGGGCUUCUGAGAGAGAGGGAAGGGCAGGGAAAGGGCUGCCCCCCAGCAAGACACAGUUGGGUGAACAACUGAGUCUUUGCCUCGUUGACAAAGGAGAAUGAGGGACUCGCGCCAGGCUGGCUUGAACUGACUGGAGAAAAGCGACUUCUGUAAUUCAGGGCCCUCCUCGUGCGAAGGAAACUUUGGCAAAGCAGAAAGACAGGCAUGCAGUUUCCAGGCGGAAAAACGUGAACCAUGGGACAUGAUGGGCUCCAGGGCCGUGGAUGCAGUUGCCCGAGGCCCCAGGGCCGCCCCCGGAAGGCCGGGACUGCCAGGGACUCGGCGUGGGGGUGCUGACUGCCGCUCCAGGCCUCGGGGUUCAAGCACUCCAGCAGCAUCCGCUCACCACGCUCCCCGCCCACUUCCAUGAUCACGAGGGGGCAAGGCUAGCCAAUCCGGGGUGGCCACUGCCCGGCCCUGCGAGGACUCGAGGCGCACUGGGAAACUGCGCGGUGCCUAGAGGUACAAAGAACAGGUCCUGGGAGGGUAGUAGGAGGGGACCUUAGCACAGCCUAUGUCAGUUUGUCAACAAGGAUUUGCUGAGAAGUCGCACUGUGCUCAGCAUAGCGGCACUGCCUACCUAAUGGGCUUUGGGGCAUAGACAGUGAAUAACCUGGCAGUGAUAAUAGUGUGCUGAAAGAAAGGCCAGCCCCAACAGCCACUACAGGAACCUCAGAAAGGAGGGGGCGUCCCUGUUAGUGGCUGAUACUGGAUUUCUCUCAUUGUGUUCGUGGCUGGCGCCAAACCAGAGAUCAUAAUGUAUAACAAAUAAAUGUGAAGUUUCUUACAUCCAAGUGGCCAGGGAAAACCUAUACUAAUUACAUGGUACAAACCCGCUGUGAUCAGGUGCUAAAUUGGGUGGCAGUCAGAGUACAGCUGUAGAGAUAUCUCUGAGGGCCAGAGUGAUCAGGAAAAGCUUUGUGGAAGAGGAAGAACUGGAGUUAGGUGCUGAAUGACGGGCAGGAUAUGGACAAGCAGAGGAAAGUGGGAAGGCGUUCCAGGAGGGAAGGGGCAGCAUAGCCAAAGCCCGGGGGAUGAGCAUGGUGGGUUUAUGGGGUUUUAGAGGGAUUAGCCUGUUUGGAGUGUAGCAGGUGCUCUGAAGAGCAUGGGACAGAAGAGAGCACAGGCAGCUGGAGGGUAGAGAUGGGGGCUAAUUGCAGAAUCCCACAGUGCCUAGGAAGGUCUCAGCUGUCAGGGUCUUCUCCUGAGACUCAUUCUCAGCUCCUUUUGGGGUUUAGGAAAGAUCUUUCAUGAGAGUUCCAAACAUUUUAGUUAAUGUUUAAUUCCUUCUCACUGAAUCCCCAUGGAAGGGGGCAAAAAGCAAGUGCUACUCCUCCAAGGUACUAAAACCCUGGUGCUGAGGAUGAGGCUGCUCCAGAGGGACCUCUGAGAGAGAGAGAGAGAUGGUAUCUUAUGAGUUGCAUAAGUCUUUUAGGCAAGAAAGCAGGAGGAGAUACUGAAGGGACCCCCUAAGGAAGCAGAAAAGCUUUACCUUCUCCUCUGCAAGAGGCAUCAGGAUUCCCUUUGAAAACAGAGCAGAGGACGGCGCAGAAAAAUUCAAGAAUGUUUGCUCUCACCACUUCUAUUUAGCUUUAUACAGGAGAUCCUAGCCAGUGCAAAAGGGCAAGAAAAGACAUUAAAGACACGCAGACUGAAGCAGGAAGAAGUAAAACUGUCCUUAUUACAGGUGGCAUGAUUUUGUAUGUAGAAAAGCCUAAGAAAUCUACAAAAAUCUACUAGAACGAAUAAGCAAACUUAGUAAGGUUGCAGGAUACACUAUAACAAACUGUCCAAAAAUGAAGUUAAGAAAACAAUUCCACUCAUAAUAGCAUAAAAAGAAUAAAAUACUUAGGAAUAAUUUUAACAAAACAAAUGUAAGACCUAUGUACUGAAAACCUUAAAACAUUGCUGAGAAAAUUCUAAAAAGAUCUAAACAAAUGGAAAGACACACAAUGUUCAUGGAUCGGAAGAUUCAAUAUUGUUAAGAUAGUAAUUGUCCCCAAAUUAAACUAUAGUUUCAGCUCAACCCAUAUCAAAAUAGGUUGUUUUUUGUAGGACUUGACAAGCUGAUACUAAAAUUUAUAUGAAAAU